rnacentral:rRNA from 1 species
UACGAAGGGGGCGAGCGUUGUUCGGAUUUACUGGGCGUAAAGGGCGCGUAGGCGGCCUUGUCAGUCAGGCGUGAAAGCCCCGGGCUCAACCUGGGAACGGCGCUUGGGACGGCGAGGCUGGAGUUCGGGAGAGGAGAGUGGAAUUCCCAGUGUAGAGGUGAAAUUCGUAGAUAUUGGGAAGAACACCGGAGGCGAAGGCGGCUCACUGGACCGGUACUGACGCUGAUGCGCGAAAGCGUGGGGAGCAAACGGG